AAAAAGGGCCCAAAACAAGCAUUUUUCUUAUUUCAAGACGAUAACUUGUGUGUAAUUGUAUGGAUCUCUUUCAAACUGUACCACAAUACUCCAUAUAACAAAGGGGAGGCUGGGAUUUAGUUUUGGAUUAAUUGCCCAAAAUAUGUAGGAAUAAGGGGCCAAAAAAGGGCCGAAAAGAAGCACAUUUCUAGUUUCCAAACAAUAACUUGGGUUUAAGUACAUGUAUAUGGAUCUCUCUGUAAUUGUACUACAAGGUUCUAUACUAAAAAGGAAAGGAUGGGAUUGUUUUUAAGGGUUAUUGCUGAAAGGGGGUUUCAAUAAGUUUGGGGGGGGGGGAUUUGUUAAAAAAAAAAUUAAGGGAUUUCUUUUUUUUUUUUUUUAUUUUUCAAAUUUCAAAUUUUGAAAAUUUUCAAGAAGAAAUCUUCAAUUGCACAGUAUUGUGCAAUAGAUUUGUUGAUCUUUGGCCACAUUUAUUUUGUAACAAAAACCUUUUUUUUUUGGUCAAAAAUUCAAUCACAAUCCAAAUUCAGACAGCAUCAAGCUUGAACAUUGUGACCAUAUUUAAUUUGCCCCAACUGUUCAGAGUCCAACCACUGCGGUUGUAUAAAGCUGCGCCCUGCGGAGCACCUGGUUUUCACAUACUUUCAAUUGAUGACAGUCUUUUAAAAAGCUUGUUAUAUGAAACAGAGUUGUGAACAUACUUGUACUUCAAAAAAUCUUCCUCUUUGAAACUUUUGAUUGGAAUGCAACCAAUUAUAGGGCCAAUCACUCUUUGAGUGUCUUGAUUAGAAAGUUGUGUCUAUUAGAG
rnacentral:lncRNA from 1 species